UUAAAAAUGAUUAAAGGACAUAAAACGAGUUUACAAUAUCCGGUUUGCGGAAGUAUGUACGCCAAUUUAUUGACCAUAAGCUUCAACUUUAAAAGAUAAUAACAACUAAAAUGGACCUACCUUAAGCAUAAGUUAAAGCUACUGAUACAAGAUAAUUUAAAUGAAGUAAGUUUAUUUAAACCUCCAUCAACAUUUUAGAGCUCUAUCUUAUUUUACUUAACACAAUAAUAUUCAAAACACAAUUUUAGCCUGAAAUCAGGACACGCAUAUAAUAAUUCACCCCCUUACUUUAAGUGCUUAUUUCAUCCCUUUUAUUUC